rnacentral:lncRNA from 1 species
AAAGCCCACGCGGCUGUUGCCGCGACUUCCGACCAGGCUACGGCCGGUCGAGGGAUAUUCGACUUACCACCGUCUAUCAUAUGACGCGACCUUAGUCGCACCCACUACUCGCCGACCGACCUACGGGCGGCUGAACGACACUCGGCUUGCCACCGUCUGUCAAAAGACACGAAACCCGACGCAAGAGCAUGGGGACCCGACUUACUAUCGUGCCCCCGACACUGCGCCGGAUGAUGACCGACUAAGUGCAUCUACGAAGGUCCGGCCGCCGAACCUUCACUAGGUUCGAUCGGCUCCCUACUUGACAGAUACGCCCGAAUGGCGACUACAAUUAUUGGAAACCGACCUAAAGUCGGGACACAAGCUACUUCGGAGCUGUGCAAGCCGGUUAAGUCCUACCGACUUACCCGAGUUGGCGACUUCUUUAAGUUGGCGACN